rnacentral:lncRNA from 1 species
ACUCCGCCGGCGUUUCCAUGGUGGCAAGUGGCCGGUUCCUUGCGGGGCUGAGCAACAAAGUAGUAUCAGUGUUCGGUGGCUCCACUGGAACUACGCAGAGCCAGACCAGCGGGACCACAGAAUGGGCUGAGGCGGCGGCGGCUGUUUGGAUAAAGUCAACAGCGGGACGUGGGGCGUGACGCCGGUCCGGCAUCCUAAGACGUGUGGUUUGAGUUGCGGGCGAGACCAGGCUUUUUUUAGGACCUUGGGCCUGAUAAGUGGGCGACUGCAGUAGUGCGGGAACCUAUUAUUUGACAGGAACAUGACAGGAAGUGUAGGGACCCCAUGCUUGAUGGAUGGUGACUUAUAGUGUGGUAGUCUCAGUGUUGAUGGGCAUGACCGAGACAGCAGGAGUACCCCUAAGUUCUGGUGAGAGGUGGAGCCUCAGAAGGACACCUUACUCAAGCUGUCUUUAGUUCCCAAAGACAAAAAGGCUCAGUGGAAAAGAUUCCUUUUUUUUUUUUAAUGUCUCUAUAUUUGAGACUGUGGGUUUAUUGUGGAUAUGCAUUAUCUAGUUUUAAUAAAUAAAAGUAUAAACGUUUAACAUUUUCCAUUUUCUUUCUUUAUUUCUAUAAAGUAGUAAAAGCCCAGCUUGAAAAUGGAGAUGUAUGAAACCCUUGGAAAAGUGGGAGAGGGAAGUUACGGAACAGUCAUGAAAUGUAAACAUAAGAAUACUGGGCAGAUAGUGGCCAUUAAGAUAUUUUAUGAGAGACCAGAACAAUCUGUCAACAAAAUUGCGAUGAGAGAAAUAAAGUUUCUAAAGCAAUUUCAUCACGAAAACCUGGUCAAUCUGAUUGAAGUUUUUAGACAGAAAAAGAAAAUUCAUUUGGUAUUUGAAUUUAUUGACCACACAGUAUUAGAUGAGUUACAACAUUAUUGUCAUGGACUAGAGAGUAAGCGACUUAGAAAAUACCUCUUCCAGAUCCUUCGAGCAAUUGACUAUCUUCACAGUAAUAAUAUCAUUCAUCGAGAUAUAAAACCUGAGAAUAUUUUAGUAUCCCAGUCAGGAAUUACUAAGCUCUGUGAUUUUGGUUUUGCACGAACACUAGCAGCUCCUGGGGACAUUUAUACGGACUAUGUGGCCACACGCUGGUAUAGAGCUCCCGAAUUAGUAUUAAAAGAUACUUCUUAUGGAAAACCUGUGGAUAUCUGGGCUUUGGGCUGUAUGAUCAUUGAGAUGGCCACUGGAAAUCCCUAUCUUCCUAGUAGUUCUGAUUUGGAUUUACUCCAUAAAAUUGUUUUGAAAGUGGGCAAUUUGUCACCUCACUUGCAGAAUAUCUUUUCCAAGAGCCCCAUUUUUGCUGGGGUAGUUCUUCCUCAAGUUCAACACCCCAAAAAUGCAAGAAAAAAAUAUCCAAAGCUUAAUGGAUUGUUGGCAGAUAUAGUUCAUAUUCAUGCCAGAACUGAAAGCUAAAUUACUGCAGGAAGCAAAAGUCAAUUCAUUAAUAAAGCCAAAAGAGAGUUCUAAAGAAAAUGAACUCAGGAAAGAUGAAAGAAAAACAGUUUAUACCAAUACACUGCUAAGUAGUUCAGUUUUGGGAAAGGAAAUAGAAAAAGAGAAAAAGCCCAAGGAGAUCAAAGUCAGAGUUAUUAAAGUCAAAGGAGGAAGAGGAGAUAUCUCAGAACCAAAAAAGAAAGAGUAUGAAGGUGGACUUGGUCAACAGGAUGCAAAUGAAAAUGUUCAUCCUAUGUCUCCAGAUACAAAACUUGUAACCAUUGAACCACCAAACCCUAUCAAUCCCAGCACUAACUGUAAUGGCUUGAAAGAAAAUCCACAUUGCGGAGGUUCUGUGACAAUGCCACCCAUCAAUCUAACUAACAGUAAUUUGAUGGCUGCAAAUCUCAGUUCAAAUCUCUUUCACCCCAGUGUGAGGUUAACUGAAAGAGCAAAAAAGAGACGCACUUCUUCACAAUCUAUUGGACAAGUUAUGCCUAAUAGCAGGCAAGAGGAUCCAGGUCCUAUUCAAAGCCAAAUGGAGAAGGGUAUAUUUAAUGAGCGAACAGGUCACAGUGACCAAAUGGCAAAUGAGAACAAAAGGAAGCUGAAUUUUUCCAGAUCUGACAGGAAAGAAUUCCAUUUUCCAGAAUUGCCUGUCACAAUACAGUCAAAAGAUACAAAAGGAAUGGAAGUUAAACAGAUAAAAAUGCUGAAGAGGGAGUCAAAGAAAACAGAGUCAUCUAAGAUACCAACUUUACUUAACGUGGAUCAAAAUCAAGAAAAACAAGAGGUACGUCUUUAUCAGCGGCAUGAAGACAGACCAAUACAGUGAAUUGGUACCAGUAGAGUGGGGCAUUGCUGAAAAGAUACCCAAAAAUGUGGAAGCAACUUUGGAACUGGGUAACAGGCAGAGGUUUGAACAGUUUGGAGAGCUCAGAAGAAGACAGGAAAAUGUGGGAAAGUUUGGAACUUUCUAGAGACUUGUUGAAUGGCUUUGACCAGAAGCUUGAUCAUGAUAUGGACAAUAAAAUCCAAGCUGAGGUGGUCUCAGAUAGAGAUGAGGAACUUGUUGGGAACUGGAGCAAAGGUGACUCUUGUUAUGUUUUAGCAAAGAGAUUGGCAGCAUUUUGCCCCUGCACUAGAGAUUGUGGAACUUUGAACUUGAGAGAGGUGAUUUAGGGUAACUGGUGGAAGAAAUUUCUUUUUGUUGUUGUUGUUUUUUUUCUUUUUUGAGACAGUCUCACUCUAUAACCAGUCUGGAGUGCAGUGGCAUGAUCUUGGCUCACUGCAACCUGUGCCUACUGGGUUCAAGUGAUUCUCCUGCCUCAGCCUCCUGAGUAACUGGGACUAUAGGCAUGUGCCACCACACCCACCUAAUUUUUGUAUUUUUAGUGGAGACGGGGUUUCACCAUGUUGGCCAGGAUGGUCUCAAUCUCUUGACCUCGUGAUCCACAUGCCUUGGCCUCCCAAAGUGCUGGGAUUACAGGCAUGAGCCACUGCACCCAACUGGUGGAAGAAAUUUCUAAGCAGCAAAGCAUUCAAGAGGUGACUUGGAUGCUAUUAAAGGCAUUCAGUUUUAUAAGGGAAGCAAAGCAUAAAAGUUCAGAAAAUUUGCAGCCUGACAAUGCAAUAGAUAAUAAAAUCCCAUUUUCUGAGGAGAAAUUCAAGCCAGCUGCAGAAAUUUGCAAAAGCAAUGAGGAGCUGACUGUUAAUCCCCAAGACAAUGGGGAAAAUGUCUCCAGGACAUGUCAGAGACGUUUGCGGCAGCCCCUCCCAUUACAGACCCAGAGGCCUAGGAGGAAAGGCCCAGGGUCCCCAUGCUGUGUGCAGCCAAGGGACUUGGUGCCCUGUGUCCCAGCUGCUCCAGCCAUGGCUGAAGGGGGCCAAUGUAGAGCUUGGCCUGUGGCUUCAGAGGAGCAAGCCCCAAGCCUUGGCAGCUUCCCUGUAGUGUUGAGCCUGUGAGUGCACAGAAGUCAAGAAUUGGGGUUUGGGAACCUCCGCCAAGAUUUCAGAAGAUGUAUGGAAAUGCCUGGAUGUCCAGGAAGAAGUUUGCUGCAGGGGUGGGGCCCUCAUGGAGAACAUCUGCUGGGGUAGUGCAAAAGGGAAAUGUGGGGUUGGAGCCCCCACACAGAGUCCCUACUGGGGCACCACCUAGUGGAGCUGUGAGAAGAGGGCCACUGUCCUCCAGACCCCAGAAUGGUAGACUCACUUGUUACGGGAAGUCAGGGGCCCCGAACGGAGGGACCGGCUGAAGCCAUGGCAGAAGAACAUAAAUUGUGAAGAUUUCAUGGACAUUUAUCACUUCCCCAAUCAAUACUCUUAUAAUUUCCUAUGCCUGUCUUUAAUCUCUUAAUCCCAUCAUCUUCGUAAGCUGAGGAUGUAUGUCGCCUCGGGACUUUGUGAUGAUUGCGUUAACUGCACAAAUUGUUUGUAAAACGUGUGUUUGAACAAUAUGAAAUCUGGGCAUCCUAAAAAAGAAUAGGAUAACAGUGGUUUUCAGGGAACAAGGGAGAUAACCAUAAGGUCUGACUGCCUGUGGGGCCAGGCAGAACAGAGUCAUAUUUCUCUUCUUGCAGAAAGCGAAUAGGAGAAAUAUUGCUUAAUUCUUUUCCCAGCAAGGAAUAACCCUGGGAAAGGAAUGCCUUCCCAGGGGGAGGUCUCUAAAAUGGCUGCUCUGGGAGUAUCUGUCUUGUGCAGUUGAAGAUAAGGGAUGAAAUACGCCCUGGUCUCCUGCAGUGCCCUCAGGCUUGCUAGGAUUAGGAAAUUCCAGCCUGGCGAAUUCUAGUCAGACCGGUUGUCUGCUCUUGAACCCUCUUUCCUGUUAAGAUGUUUAUCAAUGACACUGUGUGCCCAGCAGGACAUGGAACCUCAUCAGUAAUUCUAAUUUCACCUGGCCUUGUAAUCUUGCUCUGCCUCUCUGCCCUUGUGAUCUUUUAUUGCCCUUUCAAGCAUGUGAUCUUUGUGACUUACUCCCUGUUCGUAUCCCCCUCCCCUUUUGAAAUUCCUAAUAAAAGCUUGCUGGUUUUGCAGCUCAGGGGGCAUCACGGAGCCUACCAAUAGGUGAUGUCACCCCCGGAGGCCCAGCUGUAAAAUUUCUCUCUUUUGUACUCUUUCUCUAUUUCUCAGACAGACCAACACUUAGGGAAAAUAGAAAAGAACCUACGUUGAAAUAUUGGGGGCUGGUUCCCCCACUAUUCACUGACUGCUUGCACUGUGUGCCUGGAAAAGCUGCAGACACUCAAUGCCAGCCCAUGAAAGCAGCCAGGAGGGAGGCUGUACCCUGCAAAGCCAUAGAGGUGGAGCUUCCCAUGACCAUGGGAACCCACCUCUUGCAUUAGUGUGACCUGGAUGUGAGACAUGAAGUCAAAGGAGAUCAUUUUGGAGCUUUAAUAAUUGACUGCUCCACUGGAUUUUGGAUUUGCAUGGGACCUGUAGCCCCUUUGUUUUCGCCAAUGUCUCCCAUUCAGAAUGGCUGUAUUUAUCCAAUGCCUGUACCUCCAUUGUAUCUAGGAAGUAAAUAACUUGCUUUUGAUUUUAUAGGCUCAUAGAUGGAAGGGACUUGCCUUAUCUCAGAUAAGGCAAGUGGACUUUUGAGUAGACUUUUGAGUUAAUGCUGAAAUGAGUUAAGACUUUGGGGGACUGUUGGGAGGGCAUGAUUUAUUCUGAAAUGUGAGGAUAUGAGAUUUGGGAGGGGCCAGGGGUGGAAUGAUAUGGUUUGGCUGUGUACCCACACAAAUCUCAUCUUGAAUUCCCAUGUGUUGUGGGAAGGACUUGGUGGGAGGUAAUUGAAUCUUGGAGGCAGGUUUUUUCCAUGCUGUUCUUGUGAUAAUAAGUCUCAUGAGAUCUGAUGGUUAUUACAAGGGGGCGUUAUCCUGCACAAGCUCUCUCUUUGCAUGCUGCCAUCCACGUAAGAUGUGACUUGCUGCUCCUUGCCUUCCACCAUGAUUGUGAAGCCUCCCCAGCCAUGUGCAACUGUAAGUCCAAUAAACCUCUUUCUUUUGUAAAUUGUCCAGUCUCAGGUAUGUCUUUAUCAGCAGCGAGAAAACAGACUAAAACACUUACCAUAUCUAAACUGUAUUAAUUUCUCCCCAAACCAUCUUUCUCUCUUAGCUUUUCUUGUUUUUAAAAGUAGUACUAUUGUUUUCCUUGGCUUGAA